rnacentral:rRNA from 1 species
UACAGAGGUCUCAAGCGUUUGUUCGGAUUCAUUGGGCGUAAAGGGUGCGUAGGCGGCGCGGUAAGUCGGGUGUGAAAUCUCGGAGCUUAACUCCGAAACUGCAUUCGAUACUGCCGUGCUUGAGGACUGGAGAGGAGACUGGAAUUUACGGUGUAGCGGUGAAAUGCGUAGAUAUCGUAAGGAAGACCAGUGGCGAAGGCGGGUCUCUGGACAGUUCCUGACGCUGAGGCACGAAGGUCAGGGGAGCAAACAGG